CCACUUUCCCAUGGCAGGAAGGGGAUGUGAUGGCCGUGAUUGCUCUUGAUGGGUCCCACAGCUGAAACAGGUGGGAUUGGGGGGUCAGUGGCGCGAGCCGGAGUUCCGUGUCCUCGUCAGGACAAUGGAAGUGGUGCUGGGGGGGGGGGGGGGGGGGGUGGGGUCCAGGUUGUGGAAAGGUGGAUGACAUCAUCAGUCUGGACACAGCACAGGAGCACGACUGAGGGGGAGUCGUGUUGAUGGCAAACAAGCACGUCAAACGAUGACGUCUGACUUCCAUGUACGCGAUCUGUUUUGGAGCCGCAGGCGCCUUCAGCUCAUCUUUGUUUGGAUAGGUGUGGAGUACCAGCGCCCAUGGGUUAAGGACUGGAGCUCCACAUUUCACUGGAAGAAAUUGUGAACAAUAUGAUGUAACAAGAACCAAUUGCACAUUUCAAAUCGUCUAAAGUGGGAUGCCUGGCUUUAUUGAACAGUUCAGGUCAUGUUAAGAAACGCUGCUACUGAGAUUUAGUCUUGAAACCCAGAGUGAAUGUUUGAAGUGGCUGGAAAUGAUCUCUCGGAAGACCGAGAUGGGGGGAGAUCGGCCAUCCUUUCUUCCAUCUCCUAACAUUUUCAGGCCAACAGGACUUCACCUGUUGGGCCUGUGAAGCUUUUUGACUGAGAAUGAGUAAGGGCUGUACAAUAAAACUGGACUUGAAGAAGACA